rnacentral:hammerhead_ribozyme from 1 species
GCACUGCUGAGGUGUCUCACAAUAAAAUGAAACGGCCGUCCAGUAC